AGCCUGGAGAUACCAUUCUAGGUCUAUUCUGCUCACUGAAAAUUUAAGAGCCGCGGUAUUUUGACCGUGCUAAGGUAGCGAAAUCAAUUGUUCUCUAAUUAGGGACCAGAAUGAAUGAACCCACGGGGGGCAGCUGUCUCUCCUUUACUAUUUCGAACUUGCAGGGAAGGUGCAAAUGCCCUCCAGACAAUGAAAGACGAUAAGACCCUGGGAGCUUGGCGGACAGGUGUACUCCGAACGAUUUUGCUGGGGCGGCAUCGUCGUACCUGACGAUAGGGAAACAAGACAAUAAGAGAAAGAGUAAGCUACCCCAGGGAUAACAGCGUAAUUUUCUUUUUAAGCUUUCGACCUCGAUGUUGGACUAGGGAAACGGUUGGUUAGAAGCCUACCCGUCG
rnacentral:rRNA from 1 species